CCUACGGGAGGCAGCAGUAGGGAAUCUUCCGCAAUGGACGAAAGUCUGACGGAGCAACGCCGCGUGAGCGAUGAAGGCCUUCGGGUCGUAAAGCUCUGUUGUUAGGGAAGAAUAAGUGCUAGUUAAAUAAGCUGGCACCUUGACGGUACCUAACCAGAAAGCCACGGCUAACUACGUGCCAGCAGCCGCGGUAAUACGUAGGUGGCAAGCGUUGUCCGGAAUUAUUGGGCGUAAAGCGCGCGCAGGCGGUUUCUUAAGUCUGAUGUGAAAGCCCACGGCUCAACCGUGGAGGGUCAUUGGAAACUGGGAGACUUGAGUGCAGAAGAGGAUAGUGGAAUUCCAAGUGUAGCGGUGAAAUGCGUAGAGAUUUGGAGGAACACCAGUGGCGAAGGCGACUAUCUGGUCUGUAACUGACACUGAGGCGCGAAAGCGUGGGGAGCAAACAGGAUUAGAUACCCUGGUAGUCCACGCCGUAAACGAUGAGUGCUAAGUGUUAGGGGGUUUCCGCCCCUUAGUGCUGCAGCUAACGCAUUAAGCACUCCGCCUGGGGAGUACGGUCGCAAGACUGAAACUCAAAGGAAUUGACGG
rnacentral:rRNA from 1 species